GGUCAUGACGGUGCGUUUGCCCGCUGCCGGCCACCGUACCAAACAGAGCCAACGAGAAAACCAGCUUCAUGACAAACUUGUGAUUCUUGGGGUCAACGAAUUCCUCGGCCAGAUGCAGAAAGGGCAGCGCCGUCACCGUGACGACCAAAGAGAAGUCCGUGCGUUUCAGUGUAAAGACCUGGCCCUGACGUAGAGACGCAGUCACUGGCUCCUCACUCACUAGUGUCCACUGGCGCCCCCUGCUGCCGUCCUGGUACUGGAGGGUGGGACCUGGGCUGAGGACUGCUGCCUGGUGGCUCGCAGGUACUUCUGCAUGGCCCGCGCCAUGGGAGCGAAGAUGGCCUGAGCCGCCUCCCUCGGGUCCAUGACCUCCCGCGGGUGUUUCGGUGACACUGUCGCCUCUUCUUCCUGGUGGCGCUUGAUGUGGGUGAAGGCUUCCUCUACUGACACCACCAGUCUGGGGGGAGAAAUUCCAGUUUGCUUAGCCUCCGAUCGGUCGCGCUCCGGUGGACCACAGACCGGCGACGUCGCUCCCUCCACAGGCCGAGGGGAGUUAGCGGCGGUGGGCGCGGGUGGAACGCUGAGGUCAUCGGUGACGCUUUCACCCUGCUCUGUCGGCAUCACCAAGUAGAACAUGUUGCCUGAAGACCACACAGAUGAGGCGUGGCCCCGCCUCUCGGCUUGGACGACUGGUCGGAGGGGAGGGUGACAUCAUCAGUGAUGCCGUCAGGGACAGAAGAAGAAGAAGGAGGAGGAGGAGGAGGAGUAGGACCCGCAACCACAGCUAUGUAAAGACGACAGACAUAUGAAGGCUCCCGAUUGGUCCAUGGAGGCGUCGUCGGAGAGCCCCACGUCGUUGUUGGAGGAAUGAGUCUCCAUGGAAUGUGAGUGCUCCGUCAUUGAGCUCUCUGGAGGAUUUAAUACAGUUUGGAGAGGGUGACCGGGGAAAACCUUGGAGUCUCUUAGUUUGAUGCCAGAGUGACGCAGGUAGAGGAGGACCGCCGAUGCCAGAGGAGAACUGUGGGGGAGGAGACAGAGAGAGAGAGGAGAGAUGGAACAAACAUGAUGGUCAGUGUCACGGAGGGAUGAGGCGAUAAGGAGAAGGAAGAGUGAACAAAAGAAAAGAUGCAAAUAAUAGUAUCUCCCAGAGGGCGGUGACCUGUUUGUCCACCACCUGUCUCUCCUUCACCGGGUCUCCGUCCAGGUGCUGCAGGUCUCCUUCUCCGAACAACGAGCCCAGACCCAUCAUCUGCUUGCUCCUGCGAGACACAGAAAAACUCCACAGGUUUAAAUGAGCCUCUGAAGAAGAUGAUGAACUUAUAAUGAAGUUAACGUCUCUCGCUGCUGCUCUAAACACAGACAGUGUACCUGUAGUCCUGUAUCUGGUCCUGGAUGUCCGGUAGGACCUGCUGCUGCAGCUCAGACAGGGGUCCUCUGAUGUCCUCCUGGACGUGUAAUCGACUCUCUGAUGGGAGGACAGACGGUGGACAUUGAGUGGACACACGGGACAAUAAACAGGCAAGUCUGUCGUAAACAUAGCCGUUCGAUUUUCUUACCGAUAUCUGCGAGAUAAUCCUCUCGUACUUUGAUUUUCAGGGGCUGUGAGAAAAGGAAAGGAAAUUGCAUUCUAUUUGAAAAAGCGUCUGGGUCCAGAAAAUGGGAGCAGAUCUGCGGUGCAAGAGCUCGGGCGUCUUUCGAACUGGAGCCCAGAUACGCCUCCACAGACAAGUAAAACAGCUGCAACAGACACAAACACCCGCGCGUGGUUUGGGUUAGCGGCGCCUCCAUGAAGCGACAUCACUGACGAAGAGAUCUUGUCGUUUUUCCCAUGUGUCAUCAGAAAACAGGCCGUCGAGCAAAACUAUCAGACCUGACUGAGGGAGCGUUUGUGUGUAUACAGCUGCAGAGGGGGGCGGGGGCAAGAAGCGUCUACCCCAUCAAACUGCAGCACAACAGGGUUUUUGAGCGAUAGAAUCCACAUGCGGAACUCUGCAGUCGUCUCGCUUUACUAGCGCCAUUGCGCACUUAUUUGACGGCGGUUUGAAUUUUAAAGUUACGCACUACAGCUUUAACGUUGUCAACUUGUUCUUCUUCAAAGAAAAAGACUUUAUUUAUUGACUUUUCAUAUGUGGACAAACACGCAUUGAUGUUUUUUGUUCACUGGACAAACUUGAACUAUUCUUGAUUAA